AUACGGAGGGUGCAAGCGUUAUUCGGAAUCACUGGGCGUAAAGGACGCGUAGGCGGGUUGGCAAGUCAGAUGUGAAAUCCUACAGCUUAACUGUAGAACUGCAUUUGAAACUGCUAACCUAGAGUAUGGGAGGGGGAGAUGGAAUUAGUGGUGUAGGGGAAAAUCCGUAGAUAUCACUAGGAAUACCGAAAGCGAAGGCGAUCUCCUGGAACAUAACUGACGCUAAGGCGUGAAAGCGUGGGGAGCAAACAGGAUUAGAAACCCUAGUAGUCC
rnacentral:rRNA from 1 species